GUGCUCACUUUGGCAGCACAUAUACUGAAACUGGAACAAGACAGAGAAUAUUAGCAUGGCCCCUAUAAAAGAAUAACACACACCCCUUCACACACACACUACCACUCUUU